AUGCACGCUGGCGGCGUGCCUAAUACAUGCAAGUCGAGCGAACAGAUGAGGAGCUUGCUCCUCUGACGUUAGCGGCGGACGGGUGAGUAACACGUGGAUAACCUACCUAUAAGACUGGGAUAACUUCGGGAAACCGGAGCUAAUACCGGAUAAUAUAUUGAACCGCAUGGUUCAAUAGUGAAAGACGGUUUUGCUGUCACUUAUAGAUGGAUCCGCGCCGCAUUAGCUAGUUGGUAAGGUAACGGCUUACCAAGGCAACGAUGCGUAGCCGACCUGAGAGGGUGAUCGGCCACACUGGAACUGAGACACGGUCCAGACUCCUACGGGAGGCAGCAGUAGGGAAUCUUCCGCAAUGGGCGAAAGCCUGACGGAGCAACGCCGCGUGAGUGAUGAAGGUCUUCGGAUCGUAAAACUCUGUUAUUAGGGAAGAACAAACGUGUAAGUAACUAUGCACGUCUUGACGGUACCUAAUCAGAAAGCCACGGCUAACUACGUG
rnacentral:rRNA from 1 species